rnacentral:rRNA from 1 species
AGAGUUUGAUCCUGGCUCAGGACGAACGCUGGCGGCGUUAACACAUGCAAGUCGUACGGAAAGGCCCUUUCGGGGGUGCUCGAGUGGCGAACGGGUGAGUAACACGUGAGUGACCUGCCUUCAGCUUUGGGAUAACCCUCGGAAACGGGGGCUAAUACUGGAUAGGACUUCGGGGUGCAUGCUUCGGGGUGGAAAGCCUUGCCUUUGGGUGGGGUGGCUGGGGAUGGGCCCGCGGCCUAUCAGCUUGUUGGUGGGGUAGUGGCCUACCAAGGCGACGACGGGUAGCCGGCCUGAGAGGGUGACCGGCCACACUGGGACUGAGACACGGCCCAGACUCCUACGGGAGGCAGCAGUGGGGAAUAUUGCGCAAUGGGCGGAAGCCUGACGCAGCGACGCCGCGUGGGGGAUGACGGCCUUCGGGUUGUAAACCUCUUUCAGCAGGGACGAAGCCGCGAGGUGACGGUACCUGCAGAAGAAGCACCGGCCAACUACGUGCCAGCAGCCGCGGUAAUACGUAGGGUGCAAGCGUUGUCCGGAAUUAUUGGGCGUAAAGAGCUCGUAGGCGGUUGGUCGCGUCGGCUGUGAAAACCCGGAGCUCAACUCCGGGCCUGCAGUCGAUACGGGCCGACUUGAGUGUUGCAGGGGAGACUGGAAUUCCUGGUGUAGCGGUGAAAUGCGCAGAUAUCAGGAGGAACACCGGUGGCGAAGGCGGGUCUCUGGGCAACAACUGACGCUGAGGAGCGAAAGCGUGGGGAGCGAACAGGAUUAGAUACCCUAGUAGUCC